UCAUAGUUGUAAGUAUGUUUAAGCUGUUUUGUAAUGAAUAUGUUUAAAGAUUGUUAUUCAAAAGAAACUUUCAAUAAAAUUUGUAAAUUAGAGUUACACUUAACGAAUAAAAAUGUGUUGCUAUAUAUAACGAGUUAUACUAAAGUUAUACUAAUUCUAAACAGAGUUAUACUUAACGAAAAAAAAAACUUUAAUCAGAGUUACACUAAGCGAAGAUAAAAAUAUUCUAAUACGUUGUGUUUGCUACCAGAAAACAACGUUAGAUUUUAAAAUGGUUGGCAAUUUAAGCAAGCUUUCAUUAUUAUUGAUUUUUUUUCUCUCGAUUUUGUUUGUACAUGGGUUUGAUAUGAAACUAUCUUUAGCUAUUGUUUGAAGACAAUGUAAGAAUGCUAGAUAAAUAAUUUAAAGAGAAUAUUACUUCAUUGCAUGAAUCAUCAGAUUAGUUUUGUGUGCAGAACUAAUACAGAAUGAAUUUUUUAAAUUUAAUGAAAAGUUUUUGUACGUAUAUAUUUAUCUGUGAAUAAAAUUAUAAAUAAAAGCAAAAAGUAUGAUGUUUUUCGAUUAAAGUUUUUUAACUGGUAUUCGUAUGCAAAUAAGUAUACAAACCGUAUGAUAUUUAUUUGAUAGUGUGGUUUUAAUGGGGUAAACAUUAUAGCCACAUAUGGAACGCACGAACGCUAUCUCAUAAAGGAGAGUGGUAAAUAUAUGGCUAACAUAUGCUUACCACACGUGGGCCACAUGAAGCUUUUGCGCAAAAAUGAAGUGUAGCUUUCGUUUCUAUUUAAAGUGGUUUUAAUAGGAUAAACAUUAUAGUCACAUAUGGUUCGCACCAAAGCCAUUCCAUAAAGGAGAGUGGAAAAUAUAUGAUUAACAUGCAAUUGCUAUAUAUAGCCCACAUGAAAAAUUCUUGUCGGAGCUCUCGGGAAAGCAUAAACUAGCAUAAUUUAUUAGAUAUGUUAUCAUAUAUUUAUUAUCAUAGAUGUUGUUAUAAUAGAUGUUAUCAUAAAUUACGUUUAAAUUAUUUUCUUUUUAGUUAGCUUAUUGUUUAACUAAUGUUUAUUUGUUAUUACUAUUUUUUUUAACAUUUUUUUUUCAUUAUUAUUUUUAAGACUUGUAAAAAAAUAAAUGGGCAUGACAAAAAACUAUUAAAUAAAGUUUCAAAGUUUCUAUUCAAUAAUUUUUAUAGUUUAUAAACAGCUUUUGAAGGAGUAAAAAGCUUUUCUCAGGCAGAAAAUAAACGAGAAGUUAUAGAAAUUUCGAGUCCCAAAAAUAUAUCUUAUUUAAAUAAAAAAAGCAACAUUUAUUAAAAAAAAAAAA